GUCCGAAUUCCAUUCUUUCAAACAAUCACCACUUGAGACUUGAAAGUCUAUAUAUCAUGUAGCGUCAUUUAUAUUAAGAACGAGUAUUUAGGUGUUGUAUAAGAAAACCAAACACCUUUACACUAUAUUUUUUUUUUUCACAACUUAGAAGAGACUAUUAACACUUUUUUUUAUUUUUAUUUUUACAUUUAUAAAUUGAAAGAAUUACUUAGAUGAACCACAUUUUAGGUGUAUUGACGCAAACCAUCCAAAACUUUUUUUUAUCCUUAAAUGUUUUUUAAUUACCAGCGUGCCCUUUUUACACGUUACCGGAAAAAACUAAUUACGGAAAAUGCCACU
rnacentral:lncRNA from 1 species